rnacentral:rRNA from 1 species
CAGCCGCCACGGUAAUACGUAGGUGGCGAGCGUUGUCCGGAAUCAUUGGGCGUAAAGGGAGCGCAGGCGGGCAUGUAAGUCUUUCUUAAAAGUUCGGGGCUCAACCCCGUGAUGGGAAAGAAACUACAUGUCUUGAGUACAGGAGAGGAAAGCGGAAUUCCCAGUGUAGCGGUGAAAUGCGUAGAUAUUGGGAGGAACACCAGUGGCGAAGGCGGCUUUCUGGACUGCAACUGACGCUGAGGCUCGAAAGCCAGGGGAGCGAACGGGAUUAGAUACCCGUGUAGUCCCUGUCUCUUAUACC